UACGUAGGGUGCGAGCGUUAAUCGGAAUUACUGGGCGUAAAGCGUGCGCAGGCGGUUGUGUAAGACAGGUGUGAAAUCCCCGGGCUUAACCUGGGAAUUGCAUUUGUGACUGCACGGCUAGAGUUUGGCAGAGGGGGGUAGAAUUCCACGUGUAGCAGUGAAAUGCGUAGAGAUGUGGAGGAACACCGAUGGCGAAGGCAGCCCCCUGGGUCAAGAUUGACGCUCAUGCACGAAAGCGUGGGGAGCAAACAGG
rnacentral:rRNA from 1 species